GCCACUGCCUGAGGAAGAGGAGACACAAGACAGGAAGUGCUUUUCAGCAGCCCUCUAAACCCUGCCAGGGCUCCUGGCUGCAGGUACAUGAACAGAAGCAAAGGGAUUCACACUUCACAUGCUUGUCUAUGAACCCCCCCAAACCACAGACGAAGGUGCAACACUGACGUGGCUGGUGAGUACGAAUCCGAACUGAGAGAAAAAACGGCAUCAAAAAAAACGUUCUUUUGAAAAGCUGAUAAACAGCAAGUGCUGUUCUCAGACAGGACAGCCGGUGGGGGUUUGAGAUCACCUUAUCAACAUUAUAGGAUGCACCGCUGCCAUGCUAUUGUAGACCACCAGGGGGUAGCGAUGUAACCUUGUUCCUUUCUGAAAAGAAGCCCUCUUCACCUCAAACAGGACACAAGCUUUUCUGUUUUGCACUAUGAGCUUGUGUCAGCCACAAUGGAAUCACGCUUUCCCGAUCUGAAUAAUGCCCGUAAUGGUAAACAAGACGGCAUUGCAUUCCACAUUUACGAACACAGCGCUCCUUUUCAGCUCGAAGCGGAGUUAACGGACGGACGUUCGGCCGUGGCCGCAGAGAAAUAUCUCCAGCUGAAGCGACAAGCUGACCCACAGGCCUAUAGAGGGGUCCUUCAUGAGCAGAGUUAGCGAAUAAAAGGUGCCAUCUGCAGCCGGCGAGACGACCACGCCUCUCUCUCUGCGCACGCUAGCUAGCUAGCUAACUCCCACGACCGGCCAGUGUGAAUCAUCCCCCUCUGACCCAGUGUCUGGGUAACUGGACAUGAAAAUGUUGAUAUUUAUGUAUCAUUUAGGAUGAAAACAAGGUAAUAUUGGACAGUUUUAGUGUGCUCCCACUUUAAAACAGUACCUUGUAUUGCUCUGAAAUAAAAUUCAACAGAAGAAACUCAAGCCUUGUACCACUACCGUACAUUGUCAUGCACAGUUUAUGCUAUGUUUUUCAAAAUAUAUAUAUUAUUCAAGGACAUAAAACUGACAACAUAUGCAGUAGUGGUGUAAUCUAAUCAGUUUCAAAAACAUUUUUAAAGGACGUAAUAUCUUGAAAACUUGUACAAUAGUAAUAGCGGAAUAUAACAUUUUGUUUAGUGUUGGCUUGUACAGUGCUGGUUCCGUAUACAAAGUAAAAACAUUCUUAAAUGACCCAGGCAUUUUCUUCUCUUUCCCCGCGUUGCCUCUCUUUCACCGAUUAGGACAAACGCACCCAAACAUUUAACGGGCAGAGGGACCAGGUCCAGCCAACUGACCGCACCACGCCGUGUGGUGGACAACACACCCUCCCCUCCCCUCCACUCACCGCGUGUGCUCCAGAGUCCGGAUGUCGGCCAGAUCGAAGACGAUGAUUAUCACUGCGGGAGAACAGAGCACAGCGGAGACGGAGACGUCUGAGGGUCAGGCACAAGCACAUCAUCACAGAUUCCACCAUUUUACUCUCUUCCACUUAAGCCUUCUUACUGAAUUCAGUUCUUUCAAACAGCUGAUUACAAAUAGUGUGGAAACUGUUCCCGCAGUUUAAUAAAAGGUGAGGAAGAAUUCACCUACACCAACAUCUCCACCGUAUAUUCAUUUGUGCUUGACCAAAAACAGACACAAGUUCUACCAGUGGACCGUGACUCACACAGAGGACACUGCUACUAAAGAUAAUGUAUGGUAAAAAUGGCUAUGACAAGGAGAUUAAUGUAAAAAUUCACCCAAAAACAAAAGAUGGUAUUUUUAUGACAAACAAUAAUACAAACACCCAAGGCAUAAUAUGUGUACAACCCUGCUGUAUAAAUUACACAUCAGUUUCCCCUGAUGAUGUUGUUGGGAAGAACUCCCAUCCUCUUUAAUAUGAAACCUUUGUGUACUGUACACUGUUUUUGGCAAUGUGUCAUUAUCUGUGAGAUACCUAACUCAAACUUUUGUGGGUGCCUGUCAGUCAUUCAAGUCAAUACAACAUUCCUAUGUUUUCUAUCUUCUUGAAAGGCAGCCAUUUCCAUUUGUCUGCGAGAUGUUGGAGAAGUGCAUGAUGGGAAUUUAAUUACAAGUCAGAAGACCGGUUCUGCUGAGCACAGCUGCGGUGUCACUGAAGUAAGAUGACAUGGAAAACCGAAGUAACAUUUUGAGGACAUGCAGGCACUGGGAGAGGGAAUGAUCUGCUGGCUGAAUGGUCCCACAGUCCUGUCCAGUCGCCCACCCGCCCCCCCGCACAGUGAUUCGAUUAGAUUCCCGGUGAAGAAAUAAAGGGGAGGCCUGUGUGCGGCGUCGUUCCGUGAAAACAUCCCAUGAGCUGUAAUCUCAUUCCACCGCAGACGAGGAGAGAGGAGCGUCACGCUCUCCGUGAGAGGCGAGUCUACCCGAGUCCGCACGCCAAAGUCGGACCGCGGCUGAGAAAACUAACCACCUGACACUGACUUUAACAUACAAACCAUACAGCUGUGACUGUGACCACCAGUUUAUUAUACAUUGAACCAUGUACAGCUGUGACUGUGACCACUAGUUUAUUAUACAUUGAACCAUGUACAGCUGUGACUGUGACCACCAGUUUAUUAUACAUUGAACCAUGUACAGCUGUGACUGUGACCACCAGUUUAUUAUACAUUGAACCAUGUACAGCUGUGACUGUGACCACUAGUUUAUAAUGCAUAGGAACCGUACGCAUCUAUGACUGUGACCACUUGCUAAUGAUGCAAAUGAACCGUAUACAUCAGGGAUACUGAAAUCUGGCCCUCCAAGGCCAGUAGUACGGUUGCUUUUCUUUGCUAACCAACAGUUUGAUUAAUGCGACUGUUUGCCCACAGAUUUAAGUCACUUGACGGUAUACUCCCCGGUGUAAAUCAGUCCUGAUUGAUUAGAGGGGAAGAAUGGAAACCGAAGUACUACUGGUCUGGAGGGCCAGAUGUGAGUAUCCCUGCUGGUGUAUACAUACGGCUGUAGCCACUGUGCUAGUGGUACACUGAAUCUCCAGCUCCAGCUCGCCGGGGGUGAGGAGAGGCCGGGGACUCACCCCAGGCUCCAGGGGGCCCGUUCCUUGCAGGCGGUCUUCACCCGGACAUGCCAGUGAUCCUUGGUCUGCAGACAGGACUGAGGGGUGUACCACUGCAAACACACAGGCGCACAGUCACACACGCAGAGGCGCUGUGGGGCCGGGUACGACCGUGCGGUGAGCGAACGGCAAUAAAACAUGCGGUUAAUCGUCACGGUGACCUAUCGGUUAACCGACACGGUGAACGCACGGUUAAUCGUCACGGUGACCGAGCACCGCUCAACAGUCGCAAUCUAGAGAACCUCUUACUGCACAGCUGGGAGCACAUUAGAGGGGCAGCAGCCUUCAGAGGAAGCAGCGUUUCAAAGUGCAUUAGCCAAUUCUGAGACAGUGAUGUUGGCAACAUGAUGAAAAGUUAGAACCUUUAGCCUCAUCUUCAAUUCAAAAGCGCUGUGUGCACAUAUUAAACGGAAGCAAUGGCCUAAUGAUUCUGGAUAAUAGCCUAUUCAUCAAUAAACAUCAAUAAACAAAUGAAA